UACGUAGGGGGCAAGCGUUGUCCGGAUUCACUGGGUGUAAAGGGCGCGUAGGCGGGUUAGCAAGUCAGAGGUGAAAUCUCCCGGCUCAACCGGGAAACUGCCUUUGAAACUGUUAAUCUUGAGUGCGGAAGAGAGAGACGGAAUUCCAGGUGUAGCGGUGAAAUGCGUAGAUAUCUGGAGGAACACCGGUUGCGAAGGCGGUCUCUUGGUCCGUAACUGACGCUCAGGCGCGAAAGCGUGGGUAGCAAACAGGAUUAGAUACCCCCGUAGUCC
rnacentral:rRNA from 1 species